rnacentral:rRNA from 1 species
GGGUCAGUAGGUUGGUCGUGCCACCGGUACGUACUGGUCUCACUGAUUCCUCCUUCCUGAAGAACCGUAAUGCCAUUAAUUUGGUGUUGCGGGGAAACAGGACUGUUACUUUGAAAAAAUUAGAGUGUUUAAAGCAAGCUAACGCUUGAAUACAUUAGCAUGGAAUAAUGAAAUAGGUGGAUCGAUCCUAUUUUGUUGGUUUCUAGGAUUGACGUA